rnacentral:rRNA from 1 species
CCAGCAGCUGCGGUAAUUCCAGCUCCAAUAGCAUAUAUUAAAGUUGUUGCAGUUAAAAAGCUCGUAGUUGGAUUUCUGGAGGGGUGCCGAAGUCCGCUCGAUAGCGUGUGCUGAGGCGCCCUUCCAUCCUUCUGUUAACGUCUCUGGUAUUCAGUUACUGGUUUCGGGCUCAGAUAUUUUACCUUGAGAAAAUUAGAGUGUUCCAGGCAGGCUUGCGCCGGAAUACAUUAGCAUGGAAUAAUAGAAUAGGACUUUUGUCUCCUUUGUUGGUUUGAGGGACUGAAGUAAUGAUUAAUAGGGAUAGUUGGGGGCAUUAGUAUUUAAUUGUCAGAGGUGAAAUUCUCAGAUUUGUUAAAGACUAACUUAUGCGAAAGCAUUUGCCAAGGAUGUUUUCAUUAAUCAAGAACGAAAGU